ensembl:lncRNA
CGAGUCAUUACUUUCUUUGAAAUUGCAAGCGAAUACAUUUGAAAGUAGACAAUUUGCAUACUUCAAAAAGAAAAAUCUUGGGAAAUCUGGUCACUUUUGUUCCCGUUACCCAUUUUGAUUCCUAAAUAAUCACCAUCAUCGAAACCCAAGACAAAUUGCAGGAAACAAUUGAUUUGGAGUGUGAUCUUAUAUUAUGCAAACUCCUUUUAUGCAUAUUUUGUUUACUGGACUGGAUCAGUAGAGAAUUGACAGAAUAAACAACAAUCGUUUUCUUGUAUAGUUUGUAAGAGGCGGGAACCAGUAAUCCAGCUGGUGGUAUCUUUCACAACCCAGUGGUUUCCACUGAGCACGUUUUUUUUCUUCUUCUUUCUUUUUACUUUGCUGCAUUUGUUCUUCAGAGAUUGUGAAGGUCUUAAUGGGUCAAUGUGUGUUUUAUUCGUAUUACUUCAACUUCCACUAAGCACAAUAUGACCAGAAUACUCACCAGGCAGUGAUUGUACAGCUGCUGUCUCACGGCUCAGCACAUUGAAAGUUCAAAGGUUACCUGAGAUUGGAUGCUGACAAGAUGCGUCCGAACAAGGUGAGGUGACCUCGAGCGGGACGUCGGAUCCAAUCAUUCAGAAUACAGGAUCAAAAUACAUUUUGGGAUAGUUUUGUGAACGUUGAAGGAAAUUCAACAUCUUCUGCCAGGGUUUAACAAACAAAACCAUAGAAUAAAGAUGUGAACAAAUACAAACAAUUGACUAAUUAUUACAUGUAAAAGAAGUAAUAAUGACCCGUUUGUAAAAUACAAUAGAAUUGCAUUAAGAGUAAAGCAAAAAGUCGGGAAAGGCAAGGAGAGCACUAAACAGCC